rnacentral:rRNA from 1 species
AUACGGAGGAUCCGAGCGUUAUCCGGAUUUAUUGGGUUUAAAGGGUGCGCAGGCGGCCAUUUAAGUCAGCGGUUAAAUCGUGGGGCUCAACCCCAUUCUGCCGUUGAUACUGGGUGGCUUGAUUGCGGUCGAGGUUGGCGGAAUUCGUUGAGUAGCGGUGAAAUGCAUAGAUAUGACGAAGAACACCGAUUGCGUAGGCAGCUGACCAGACCGCAAAUGACGCUCAUGCACGAAAGUGCGGGGAUCGAACAGGAUUAGAUACCCUGGUAGUCCGCACAGUAAACGAUGAAUACUUGUUUUCGGCGAUAUAAUGUCGGAGGCAAAGCGAAAGCGAUAAGUAUUCCACCUGGGGAGUACGCCGGCAACGGUGAAACUCAAAUGAAUUGACGGGG